GGCUCAUUGGUUUAGUCGUAUGAUUCUCGCUUAGGGUGCGAGAGGUCCCGGGUUCGAUUCCCGGAUGAACCC
rfam:Daphnia pulex DAPPTscaffold_1515_Cont13014, whole genome shotgun sequence.